rnacentral:lncRNA from 1 species
GCGCACGCGCGGACGCGCCCACUUAUAUGCGCGGGGGCCGCGGCGCGUCACGGAGGGCGGGGCGCACAGGCUCCUCCCCGGGCCCCACCCGGCCCCGCCCCUUUCCUGGCCCCGGCGAGGCCGCGCCCCCAGCUUCCACCUCGGUGCGACUCUCGCCGUCUGGCUUGGGCUGAGCCCAGCCCUGCGGCGUUCGUCUUGGGGCGGCCCGGCCGGUCCUGGGUCUGCAGGGGUUAAAAGGCCCCGCGCCCGGGUCCGGGAGCCCAGCCCCCGCCCCUCUCCCGGGCCCAGGCCCCCGUCUCGGACGCGUCUCGGAGCCCCGCCUGGUCCAGCCCGCCCGUCCUCUUCAGCCCUUGUGGAGGCGACGGGGGCGCCGGGCGGGCCAAAAAGUGCUACGUGCGCGGAGCCCUCCGGCCCGGCCUCCAGGGACUUCGCAGCCAGAGGAACCUGGAUCUCUCCCGAGUCCCCCUCACAGCUCUGGCAGCUCCGGAACCUGCACCCCGGUUGCCCAGCCCCAGGACGCGCCUGCUGCCCGCAGGGGGCGGUGAAAGGGUGGGCGGAUGGCGGGGCAGUGGGAGGCGGGGCCCAGUCGGAGAGCGGGGCGGAUUUGGGCGGGUGAGGUGAGUCUCCAGUCGCCGGAGGCAGAGGCUGGGCCCCACUGCUCGGAGACCCCAUGUUUGGGGAGCCCAGAGCGUUCCCGGCAGGGCCCUGGGGCCCGGGGGACGGCCCGCCAUGCCAAUCAGGAGGGGGCGCGUUUUCCCUUCCCAGGCAGAAAGGCGUCCUCCCUCUCCUCCUCCCCCCAGCGCAGAAUCCUCCCCACACCUCCCUCGGCCCCGCAGGGGAAAUCGGCCUGCCCCUACGGAAAUCCCGUUUCUUUAUACACCCGGUCCUGGCUGGGCGGUGUCUUCCCCGUGGAAGAGAGGGUCCGGGAGGUCCGUGGGGCGGAACAGUCCGAGGGCUUCGGGAGUCAGCCCGGGUGGAUUUGUUUCGUGGCUCUCGUUGCUGGCUGGGACGGCCGUGUGCCCGUGUUGUUCCGGAGAUCGAGGCCAACGGAUGCCGUACUCUGUCCUCGCCGGGUGCUCAGUGAGGACCCACAGCUGGGCAGGGACCCUGGGAGGCCCCUGAGCAAGACUUGGAGGGACGCCCUUGUGCCCCCUGAGCACGUGGGGAAGGCGCUGUCCUGGGCCCUGCACCGCUCUGUGUGUUCAUUGCACGAGUGUGGUAAGCACCUACUAUGUGCACAUGGCCGAGCCAAGCGCAGGGAACGGUAAACCAAGGGAGAACGGCCUUCCCGUGGGGAGCAGUGCAGAGGCUGGCGGGGGCGGGUGGUGGGGAGAGCUCAGGUUUCAGCUGAGGUCUAAGGACGGAGGGCAGGGAACCGCCUGAGCCCCACCUGGGAGGGGGAGCUCGGUGCCGGAGAGCAGUGCCAGGACCUGCGAUGGGAGAGGUGUGCAGCCCCGAGGGGUCACUGAUGAGGCAGACGGGUCAGUUGGGUUGACACUCAGAGGGUCCUCAGGGGCAGACGCUGAGACGGGGUUUGGGGUUUGGGGUGCAGAGUGAGUACUGGUGAUCAGCACCUGGGAAGGGGUGGGGAGGGUGCAGGGCCGGGCAGGGACUGUAGGGGCGGCCUGCGUUGGGCUUGGCUGGCACAGCCUUUGUGGCUUGCUUGGACCCAUAUGCAGCCGCCCAGGGACGGGAGACCCUGGUGAGGUGUCUGUGGUCCAGGCCCACCCUGAAGGAGCCGUGGGGCCGACUGCCGACCACGCCUGACAGCACGGCCUUCCAGGUCACCCGCUUCCCUCUAGGCUGGCCUGACCCAGCUCACCUCAUUCUCAACCUCACCAGUCAACACCGGUCAACAUCAGUCACAGAGCGUCUGAAAGGAGGAAUUUUCAUUUUCCUUUAAAGUGAAAAGGUAAAAACUGCAUUUACUAAACCAGGCCGGUGGGGGCUCUGUGAGCCCCUCUGCACAGGAAGCCUCAGAGACGCUGCAUGGUGUUCCCGGGGCAUCCUGGCCAAGGUGGGAGAACGCAGCCUCCGUGAGGACCCGCGGGAUGCCCUCGGGGGCCGCCUCCUGGUUCUCGUCUCCUCUGAAGUGCAGACGACGCUGGCCCACAUCCUUGUCGGGCAGAGGGGCUGCCGACUGGCCCCUGGCCAUGGCUCUUGCUGGGAGCCGUGUGGCCUGGGCUUGGACCCACAUCCACCUCUUGCUGGCUGCCUGCUCUUGCCAGUGGCUGAGCCUGGCUUCUCCCAUGACAGUGGCCGCAGACAGAGGGGACCCGUGCCACCAGGCAAGGUGAGCUCAGGGAACGCUAGCUCUCCUCUCCCUUGGCUCUGAGGGGUUCGGCGGUGCCCUUGGUGUGUCUGGGGGCUUUUGGGAAGUCCCAGGUCUGGGCUCUGGGUCAGGAAGCAGGAGCGAGGAGAGACACUGCACCCGAGCCUCCCCGGCUGUAGGAAAUGGGGGCAGAAAAGCUAAGCGGACGGAAGAUGCAUUGUGCGCAAGCUAUAGCAGGCCGGUUCAGGCCCGGUUGCUGCUAGGAUGUGAUCAUUGGCAGGGAUGAGAUUGACGGGGACGGUCAGCUGGAGAGGACAGGGCACAGCUGGACGAGGGCGGGGACGGCCACAGGCUUCCCACAGGGCGGGAGGGAAAGGCUUCCAGUCCCACUUGUAAGGGCUGCCUGCCACCCUGUAGCCACUGUCUCCUCCCUUGUGGACGGGACGAUGGUGGCACCUUGUUAUGGUUGGGUUAACAUACAUAUGUUAAGAAUGCGUUAACCCCAGCGUGUGGGGAGGACUAGAUGGGAGAGGCCCCUAGUGCGGAGGCUCACAGCCUUGCUCGGCCCCUGGGAGCUGUCGCCACCUGCACUGUGCUCCUCCCACAGGUGUCUGGGGGCGAGGUGAGAGUUCUGCCAAAGCCGGAGCCAGGGUUGGACCCCCGGAGCUCGUUGGUCGGCCCCUGGAGGGAGAGUGGUGUGUUCACACCACGGCCCUGGUGGCCCAGCUCUGCCCAUCUUCAUCCCAGGUGGCAGCUGCUGCCCAGCUCUCUGGCCAGUGCCUCUUAGAUGGUGUCACCACCUGCAGAAGAAAACAGAAGUGCUGACUAAUAUUUGAUGAAGGCCUGCUAUGCCGGCGGCACCUGAUGUGGCAGGUGAAGUCCGGGGGGCAGCAGCCAAGGCUGCCUGUUCCUCAGUGUCCCUGCGCGUGAGACGGGCAUAGCUAACUCCUGUGGCCACCUUGAGGGUAAGAUGCUUCCUGCAGGUGCUUGGACCAGUAUCUGGCACGGGGCAGGUGCUCAGCGAAAGUUCCUUAUUAAUCCCUGUACCUUUCACUGUUGGAAGUAACUCAGGACAUUGGCUUGGUGGUUACACAAGCACUGUGGGAGAAGGUGGUGUAUCUGUUCACCCUGGGUCCCAGUGGCUGAGGCAGAGCCAGCCAUGCAGGAGGCAGGCGUCCAGUAUGUAUAUUGGAUGGAAGGUUGAAUUGCAUAAUAAAAUAUAUUAAAGAUUUCCAGAGUGGAGGGGUGAGGAGGUCAACAAACCCUCUCUCCAAAAUGUACCUGUAAAUCUAAACAAAAGUCAGAAACAACCAUGUCAGUGCUUUGGAAUUUAACCAAAGGCAAACAGCAAACCAAGGAGUGUUUAUUCAUCAAAGAGCCACGCGCUGUGGUCCCAGCCACUCAGGAAGCUGAGGCAGGAGGGUCACUGGAGCCCAGGAGCUGGAAGCUGCAGUGAAUUACGAUGGCACCUGCUCUCCAGCCUGGGUGACAGAGAGAGACCCCAUCUCUAAAAAGAAUAAAACCCUGGACUUAGGAUAAAAUCCAAAAUUACUUGGCAUAACUGAACCAGGAAAAUCUCAACUUAAAUGGAAAACGAGGCCGGGCACGGUGGCUCACGCCUGUAAUCCCAGCACUUUGAGAGGCCGAGGUGGGCGGAUCACGAGGUCAGGAGAUCGAGACCAUCCUGGCUAACAUGGUGAAAACCCAUCUCCACUAAAAAAUUACAAAAAAAUUAGCCGGGCGUGGUGGCGGGCGCCUGUAGUCCCAGCUACCUGGGAGGCUGAGGCAGGAGAAUGGUGUGAACCCAGGAGGUGGAGCUUGCGGUGAGCCAAGAUCGCGCCACUGCACUCCAGCCUGGGUGACAGAGCGAGACUCCGCCUCAAAAAAAAAAAAAAAAAAAAGAAUAAAACCCUACACUUUAGGAUAAAAUCCAAAAUUACUUGGCAUAAGUGAACCAGGAAAAUCUCAGUUGCUGGGCAUGGUGGCUCAUGCCUGUAAUCCCAGCACUUUGGGAGGCUGAGGCAGGCAGAUCACCUGAAGUCAGGAGUUUGAGACCAGCCUGACCAAUAUGGCAAAAUCCCAUCUCUACUAAAAAUACAAAAAUUAGCCGGGCAUGGUGUCGGGCACCUGUAAUCCCAGCUACUUGGGAGGCUGAGGCAGGAGAAUCUCUUGAACCUGGGAGGUGGAGGUUGCAGUGAGCUGAGAUCACACCAUUCCAGCCUGGGCGACAGAGCAAGACUCCAUCUCCAAAAAAAAUAAUAAUAAUAAUACAAAAUUAGCCAGGCGUGGUGGUGCAUGCCUGUAAUCCCAACUACUCAGGAGGCUGAGGCGGGAGAAUUGCUUGAAACCUGGAGGUGGAGGUUGCAGUGAGCUGAGAUUGCGCCAUUGCACUCCAGCCUGGGCAACAAGAGUGAACUCCAUCUCAAAAAAACCCCGAAAAAACAAAUAAAUGGAAAAAAACAGUCAGCAAAUGCUAACACUGAGAUGGCACAGGUGCUGGGAUUUGUAAAAAUGCACCAACCUGCAGUUGUAAGCCCCUUACAUCAAGCGAUGGACAGUGAGCGAGCAUUGGACAACAUUUAGUGUGCGUUCACGGUGAACAUCUCGGCAAAGCAGGAACAGAAAACAACUUCAAUCUAAGAAAGAGCUCUGAUGAAGUAUUUACAGCCAGUGCUGUACUGAGGUGAGAGAAUCCUUUUCCCAGGACUGAGAGCAGGACGAGCGCAUCCACUCCUACUCCUAUUAUCAACAUUUACCGGCCGGGCGCGGUGGCUCACAACUGUAAUCCCAGCACUUUGGGAGGCCAAGGCGGGUGGAUCACUGGAAGUCAUGAGUUCAAGACCCGCCUGGCCAAGGUGGUGAAACCCCAUCUGUACUAAAAAACAAACAAACAAACAAAAAACAUGCUAGGUGUGGUGGUGCGUGCCAGUAGUCCCAGCUACUCAGGAGACUUAGGCAGGAUUGCUUGAACCCAGGAGGUGGAGGUUGCAGUGAGCCGAGAUCAUGCCACUGCACUCCAGCCUGGGUGACACAGUGAGACCCUGUCUCAAAAAACAAAAACAAUAACAACAACAAAAAAGCCAUCUAUUGGAAGUCUUAGUCAGUAAAAUACAAGAGAAGCAAAGUACAGGCAUACAGAUUGAAAAUGAAGAAAUAAACCUCUCCCGAUUCCCAGACAACAUGAUUGUCUAUGUAGAAAAUCCCAAGGAAUCUACAAAAAAGCAAACUCAGUGAAUAAGUGGGGUUAGCAAGAUGGCAAUAUACAAAGUCAACAUGCAAAAAUCCAUUGUAUUUGACAUGAUUUGGCUGUGAGUCCCCAACUGCAUGUUGAAUUGUGAUCCCCAGUGUUGGAGGUGGAGCCUGGUGGGAGGUGAUUGGGUCAUGAGGGUGGUUUCUAUUUUCUUUCUUUCUUUUUUUUUUUUUUUUUUGAGACAGAGUCUCGCUUUGUCCCCCAGGCUGGAGUGCAGUGGCCCGAUUUCAGCUCACUGCAACCUCCGCGUCCUGGGUUCAAGCAAUUCUCCUGCCUCAGCCUCCCGAGUAGCUGGGACUAUAGGCGCCCGCCACCAUGCCUGGCUAAUUUUUUUUUUUUUUUGUAUUUUUAGUGGAGACGGGGUUUCACCAUAUUGGCCAGGCUGGUCUCAAACUCCUGACCUUGUGAUCCGCCCGCCUCGGCCUCCCAAAGUGCUGGGGUGUCAGGCGUGAGCCACUGCGCCCGGCCUCAUGUUGGUGGUUUCUAAUGGUUUGGCACCAUUCCCGAGUGCUGUCUGGUUAUAGAGUUCUCACGAGACCUGGUGGUUUGAAAGUGUGUAGCAACUCCCCCUUCACUCUCUUCCUGCUGCCACGUGAAGAUGUGCUUGCUUCCCCUUUGCCUUUCACCAUGAUUGUAAGUUCCCUGAGGCCUCCUGUACAGCCUGCAGAACUGUGAGUCAAUUAAACCUCUUUUCUUUAUAAAUUACCCAGUCUUAGGUAGUUCUUUAUAGCAGUGCAAGGACAAACUAAUACAGUAUUUCUACCUGCAAUGUACAGUUAGAAUCAGAAAUUUAAAAAAAUGAAAUGUUAAUGAAAGUAUCAAGACCCAGGCAAACGGAGAGACAUGCUGUGUUCCUGGGUUUUGGACUCAACAGUAGAGAUACUGAUUUUUGCCAUGUUGAUUUAUACAUUAAAUGCAAUUCCAGUACAAAUCUCAGCCACAUUUUCUGAAGAUAUAGACAAGCAGUUCCCACAAUUAAAAUGGAAAGAUGAACUAGAACAACUACA